rnacentral:rRNA from 1 species
UACAUGUGGGGCAAGCGUUGUUCGGAAUUACUGGGCAUAAAGGGUGCGUAGGCGGUUUGUUAAGUCAGGGGUGAAAUCCCGCGGCCCAACCGUGGAACUGCCUUUGAUACUGGCGACCUUGAGUCCGGGAGAGGUGAGUGGAACUGCGAGUGUAGAGGUGAAAUUCGUAGAUAUUCGCAAGAACACCAGUGGCGAAGGCGGCUCACUGGCCCGGUACUGACGCUGAGGUGCGAAAGCGUGGGGAGCAAACAGG